rnacentral:lncRNA from 1 species
AGUGCCAUCUUUGUUCCAGUGUCUGAUUGUGUUGCAGGUCCCAGCUCACCUUUAACAACCAGCGACAUGGUGGCUGUCACAUUAUAGUGGACUCCGUUCUCAUUGUGUGUAAAUCUACACGUGUAAUCAAAUGCCUAGGACACCUGUCACCUGCAGG